rnacentral:lncRNA from 1 species
UGAAAAGUUAACGAAAAAUUAUUAGCAAACAGUGUGUUAUUCAUGUUGCGGGGCUGAGUGCACUUGUGAUUUACUGUUGUAAAUGAGAUAUUAGCCUCCUUUUGACAUCACAUAGAAUAACUACCGUUUAGUCAUUUACUAGCGUUGAUAUUCCUGAGGGAGUUUGAGAAAGUUCAACUGACACGUCACAAGUGCAAUUGC